AGUAGCUGCGAGCGAAGAGGGAAGAGCCCAGCACCGAAUCCUGCAGGCUCUGCCUGUUUGGAAAUGUGGUGUUAGGGAGAACCCAUUUAUCCCGGCACUUGAGUGGCGUGUCCAAGUACACCUUGAACGGGGUUCCAUAGAGGGUGACAGACCCGUAGCGACCGCUGUUCGUGCCGGGAGGGUUUCUCCUCAGAGUCGGGUUGCUUGGCAGUGCAGCCCUAAGUGGGUGGUAAACUCCAUCUAAGGCUAAAUAUGACCACGAGACCGAUAGCGAACAAGUACCGUGAGGGAAAGUUGAAAAGAACUUUGAAGAGAGAGUUCAAGAGUACGUGAAACCGUUCAGGGGUAAACGGGUGACGUCCUGAAUUCGAACGGGAGUUGUGGAUGCUGGUUUGGUUAACGAGGAUCCUUUGCUGGUUCCCGAGUUGCGGCAGCGUUCUGUAGCUCAAUGGGAGGACGGAAAAGGAGACUCCAAAACCGGCCCCUCUUCCCCAGUAGAUGCGUUGCGACCUGUUGGGCCCUAGUCUAAGGCCUGGGGUGGCAGCCCGUGAGUCGUGGCCGUCAGGCCCCUGACGAACGGACCCCCGGUGACCCGGCUGGAGCCAGACAGUACAUAUAGAGACAAUCCGCUAGACUGGAAUACUAGGCACGGUAGCGUCCGAACCGUCUCCGAAGGAUCGCAGUUAGGUAAAAUAUUCCUGUCUGCGUGAUGUCGGUUUCGUUAUCUCGGACUGGAUUGAUUCUCUGUCGCAGCGAGAUCCUUCGGAUCGUUACCCGACCCGUCUUGAAACACGGACCAAGGAGUCUAACAUGUGCGCGAGUCAUUGGGACUUGCUAAACCUAAAGGCGAAAUGAAAGUGAAGGCCGCUGAUGUUUUGUCGGCCGAGGGAAGAUGGUGGCAGUGUGCUUGUUAGCCGAGUAACACGCACCCGAAUUCCCGGGGCUCCUCAUCAUCCUCACUGCGAGGAGAGGUGCACCUAGAGCGUACAUGUUGGGACCCGAAAGAUGGUGAACUAUGCCUGGCCAGGAUGAAGUCAGGGGAAACCCUGAUGGAAGUCCGAAGCGGUUCUGACGUGCAAAUCGAUCGCAUGAGCUGGGUAUAGGGGCGAAAGACUAAUCGAACCAUCUAGUAGCUGGUUCCCUCCGAAGUUUCCCUCAGGAUAGCUGUCACUCGGAGUAUAAAUGUGAAUCUCAUACGGUCAAGCGAAUGAUUAGAGGCCGUGGGGUCGAAAAGACUUCACCCUAUUCUCAAACUUUAAAUGGGUGAGACCUCUGGUUUGCAGAACUGAAGCUGGAGUCGGAUGGAGAGUGACAAGUGGGCCACUUUUGGUAAGCAGAACUGGCGAUGUGGGAUGAACCAAACGCCGAGUUAAGGCGCCAAAAUCGAUGCUAUAGAGCUACCUGGGGAAGGUUGGUAGUUUGCUCAAGACAGCAGGACGGUGGCCAUGGAAGUUGGAAUCCGCUAAGGAGUGUGUAACAACUCACCUGCCGAAGCAAGCAGCUCUAAAAAUGGAUGGCGCCCAAGCAUCGUGCCUAUACUCGGCCGUCAGUGGCAAUGAGGGUUUCCGGGACUCGAUCCCGGUGCUCGAAGCAGCCCUGACGAGUAGGAGGGCGCGGCGGUGUGCGUAGAAGGGUGGGCGUGAGCCUGUCUGGAGCCACCGUCGGUGCAGAUCUUGGUGGAAGUAGCAAAUACUGUGGAGAGACGCCUGGGGACUGAUGCGGAUAAGGGUUUCGUGUCAACAGCAGUUGACCGCGAGUGAGUCGUUCCUAAGCCCUAAAUGAAAGUUGGUGCCAAUAGGAGGUGUCCAUUAUUAAGUGUUGGACUAUUGGCGGGCGAAAGGGAAUCUGGUAAACAUUCCAGAACCCGGCACGGAACCGUCUCAGGCCCUCGUGUGAUCUGUCGGGGUAACCCGAAAUGACCUGGAGAAGCUGUCGGGAGGUCUGGGCAGAGUUUUCUUCUCUGUUUUAGCGUUCGUAGUCCCUGGAAUCCUCUAGCGGGGAGAUAGGGAAUGGAACGUGCAGAGCACCGCAUUUACUGUGGUGUCCAGAUUUUCCCCUCGGACCUUGAAAAUCCAGGGGAGGGCCACGUGAGAGAUUUCGUGUCGGUACGUACCGCACAUCCGCA
rnacentral:rRNA from 1 species